rnacentral:rRNA from 1 species
CCUACGGGAGGCAGCAGUGAGGAAUAUUGGUCAAUGGACGAAAGUCUGAACCAGCCAUGCCGCGUGCAGGAAGACGGCUCUAUGAGUUGUAAACUGCUUUUGUACGAGGGUAAACGCAGGUACGUGUAUCUGUCUGAAAGUAUCGUACGAAUAAGGAUCGGCUAACUCCGUGCCAGCCGCCGAGGUAAUACGGAGGAUUCAAGCGUUAUCCGGAUUUAUUGGGUUUAAAGGGUGCGUAGGCGGUCGGGUAAGUUAGAGGUGAAAUCCCGGGGCUCAACUUCGGAAUUGCCUCUGAUACUGUUCGGCUAGAGAGUAGUUGCGGUAGGCGGAAUGUAUGGUGUAGCGGUGAAAUGCUUAGAGAUCAUGCAGAACACCGGUUGCGAAGGCAGCUUACCAAGCUACGUCUGACGUUGAGGCACGAAAGCGUGGGGAGCAAACAGGAUUAGAUACCCGGGUAGUC